rnacentral:precursor_RNA from 10 species
UGUGGUUCAUAUUUUAUUCGUUGCGCUGCGAUUUCACUCUUUCAACUGUUGGUCGAAAUAUAUCCAGCCGUUGUUGCAGUGAAGUGAUCAGCGUAAUGCGCUACGUCAUCAAAACUGC